rnacentral:misc_RNA from 1 species
AUUCUUCCCUCCAGCAAGAGCAAGAAAAUAAGCAAGAUUUAAGAGACAGAGGAGGAGACAGUGUUGUAUGUUCAUUCUUGACUGGUACAAAUUCCGUUGUAAACUCACUGUAAGAACAAGGGCCUAAAACUAAUCUAUCCAAAGAUGAGAAUUCACUCCUUCAAUUAGCUCCUUGAAAAUUCAAUUUCUCUUGAAAUAGCUAAUUCAGU